rnacentral:lncRNA from 1 species
UCCUUCUCUGUGUUCCCCUGCCUCAGCUCCUUCACUUCUCUCUCCAGAUCCUCAAUCCUUGCCUCUCUCUCCUCUGCGACGUUCCUCAGCUCCGCCUCGCCGUCACGCAACCGCUCGAUCUCCGCCUUCAAGGUCUUGAUCUGGUCGUCCCUGUGUCGCGGAGAAUCUCGCGGCGCGUCGGUCUCCUUGUCGACAACCCAGAUCGCGAAAUCAGGGGUACCAUGGUAGCUGCAGUUGAGAUUGGCGUGACAAACAGGGCUCUGGAUCUUUGAGAUGGCUGGUGACGGAGGAGUAGACGAAGGUGGGGAACGUUUGGAGGAUUUCAGGGCGAAC